UACAGAGGUCUCAAGCGUUGUUCGGAUUCAUUGGGCGUAAAGGGUGCGUAGGCGGCGGGGUAAGUCGGGUGUGAAAUCUCAGAGCUCAACUCUGAAACUGCACUCGAUACUGCUCUGCUUGAGGACUGGAGAGGAGACUGGAAUUCACGGUGUAGCAGUGAAAUGCGUAGAUAUCGUGAGGAAGACCAGUGGCGAAGGCGGGUCUCUGGACAGUUCCUGACGCUGAC
rnacentral:rRNA from 1 species